rnacentral:sRNA from 1 species
CCGGGCAGGAGGAGGGAGCUGGAAGGUGGUCAGACCAUCGGCAUUGUGGGGCCCUUCUCUCCCCAGCUCCCCGCCCAUGCUUCUGCAUCCUGCAAGCUCCCAGGGUGCAGGCAGGAGGCAGGUGCACCCCCCUGAGCAAGAUGCUUUUUCCCCCUGUUGGCACUGAGCUAGUCUUUGUUCAGGGAGAGAUGAUUUUUUUCCCAAUGUACAGAGAGCGGUCUCGCUCCUGCAGCUCUGCUGCCUGUGGGGCCAGGAGACAAACGCUGUCUCUGCUCUCCAGCUAGAAGGCUGCAUCCGAGGCGAGAGGCAGAGUGUCCCGUUGGACACAUGCACCAAAGAGGAAGCCCACUGGACCAUCCAGAGGUGCAGCGGCCCCGUCACGCUGCACUACAAGGUCAACCACGAAGGGUACCGGAAGCUGGUGAAGGACAUGGAGGAUGGCCUGAUCACAUCGGGGGACUCGUUCUACAUCCGGCUGAACCUGAACAUCUCCAGCCAGCUGGACGCCUGCACCAUGUCCCUGAAGUGUGACGAUGUUGUGCACGUCCGUGACACCAUGUACCAGGACAGGCACGAGUGGCUGUGCGCGCGGGUCGACCCUUUCACAGACCAUGACCUGGAUAUGGGCACCAUACCCAGCUACAGCCGAGCCCAGCAGCUCCUCCUGGUCAAACUGCAACGCCUGAUGCACCGAGGCAGCCGGGAGGAGGUGGACGGCACCCACCACACCCUGCGGGCACUCCGGAACACCCUGCAGCCGGAAGAAGCGCUUUCAACAAGCGACCCCCGGGUCAGCCCCCGUCUCUCGCGAGCAAGCUUCCUUUUUGGCCAGCUCCUUCAG